GAUGAAGAACGUAGCGAAAUGCGAUAAGUAAUGUGAAUUGCAGAAUUCAGUGAAUCAUCGAAUCUUUGAACGCACAUUGCGCCCGCCAGUAUUCUGGCGGGCAUGCCUGUUCGAGCGUCAUUUCAACCCUCAAGCCCAGCUUGGUGUUGGGGAUCGGCACAGGCGCCCUCGGGCGCCAGCCGUCCCCUAAAUCUAGUGGCGGUCCCGCUGCAGCCUCCUCUGCGUAGUAGUUUUCCCCUCGCAAGGGCAGCUCGGUGGCGACCUCGCCGUAAAACCCCCAACUUCUGAAAGGUUGACCUCGAAUCAGGUAGGAAUACCCGCUGAACUUAAGCAUAUCAAUAAGCGGAGGA
rnacentral:misc_RNA from 1 species